GGCAGUGGUAGCUCAGUGGUUUAGACGUUGGUCUACGGAUCAGAAGGUCGUAAGGUCAAACCCUAACCCAGCACUGCCA